UACGAAGGGGGCUAGCGUUGCUCGGAAUCACUGGGCGUAAAGCGCACGUAGGCGGAUUGCUAAGUCAGGGGUGAAAUCCUGGAGCUCAACUCCAGAACUGCCUUUGAUACUGGCGACCUUGAGUCCGGGAGAGGUGAGUGGAACUGCGAGUGUAGAGGUGAAAUUCGUAGAUAUUCGCAAGAACACCAGUGGCGAAGGCGGCUCACUGGCCCGGUACUGACGCUGAGGUGGCGAAAGCGUGGGGAGCAAACAGG
rnacentral:rRNA from 1 species